GGGGUGUGAGAGCACGGCCCCCCACAAUGGGACUGAGACACGGCCCAUACUCCUACGGGAGGCAGCAGCAGGGAAUAUUGCACAAUGGACGGAAGUCUGAUGCAGCGACGCCGCGUGAAUGAGGAAGGCCUUCGGGUUGUAAAAUUCUUUUAGCGGGGAAGAGCGAGGACGGUACCCGCUGAAUAAGCGUCGGCUAACUACGUGCCAGCAGCCGCGGUAAGACGUAGGACGCAAGCGUUAUCCGGAUUUACUGGGCGUAAAGCGUCUGUAGGCGGAGGAGUAAGUUGGGCGUGAAAGCUCCGGGCUUAACCCGGAGAGGCCGUUCAAUACUGCUUGUCUAGAGGGGGUCAGAGGGAAGCGGAAUUCCUGGUGUAGCGGUAAAAUGCGCAGAUAUCAGGAGGAACACCGGUGGCGAAGGCGGCUUCCUAGGGCCAACCUGACGCUGAGAGACGAAAGCUAGGGGAGCAAACAGGAUUAGAGACCCUGGUAGUCCUAGCCCUAAACGAUGAAUGCUAGGUGUGGGGCCGAACGGCUCUGUGCCGCAGCUAACGCGCUAAGCAUUCCGCCUGGGGAGUACGACCGCAAGGUUAAAACUCAAACGAAUUGACGGGGCCCCGCACAAGCAGCGGAGCGUGUGGUUUAAUUCGAUAUUACACGAAGAACCUUACCUGGGUUUGACAUGCACGUGGUAAGAAUCCGAAAGGAGACUGACCCUUCGGGGAGCGAGCACAGGUGCUGCAUGGCUGUCGUCAGCUCGUGCCGUGAGGUGUCGGGUUAAGUCCCGUAACGAGCGCAACCCUUGCCCUUAGUUACAAGUGUCUAGGGGGACUGCCGGCGGAAAGCCGGAGGAAGGUGGGGAUGACGUCAAGUCAGCAUGGCCUUUAUGUCCAGGGCUACACACACGCUACAAUGGUCGGUACAAAGGGCAGCCAAACCGCGAGGUGGAGCGAAUCCCAAGAAAGCCGGUCGUAGUUCGAAUUGCAGGCUGCAACUCGCCUGCAUGAAGCUGGAGUUGCUAGUAACCGCGCGUCAGCUAUAGUGCGGUGAAUACGUUCCCGGGGCUUGUACACGCCGCCCGUCACGUCAUGGGAGUCGGUAACGCCUGAAGCCGGUGGUCUAACCUUAAACGGGGGGACGCUGUCGAAGGCGGGACUGGCGACUGGGACGAAGUCGUAACAAGGUAGCGGUACCGGAAGGUGCGGCUGG
rnacentral:rRNA from 1 species